GCAUUGAGAGCUUGUACCAUUUCAUUUUAACACAUUACACAUGACUAAUUCUCUAUAAAGAAUUUUUCCUCACAUCUUUGUAGCUGUAAUGGUUAUUGUAAUUUCAACCUGAUAAUUUUAUAUUAAUGGUUAAGAAUUCAGCCUUUGGGGGUGGCUGUGGGCCUGCCUCUGGCAUGCAAAAGAAUUUUAAAGGUUAUAAAAUUCUUAGAAUUCUAAGACUAACUAAAAAGUUAUUCUUAAAAUGCUGAUGAA
rnacentral:lncRNA from 1 species